rnacentral:tRNA from 1 species
CGGCGCCGAGGUGGGAGAUCGCUCGGUUGACACCCGAGCGGUCGCAGGUUCGAAUCCUGCUGCGCCGG